UUCCUACGGGACGCAGCAGUGAGGAAUAUUGGUCAAUGGGCGCGAGCCUGAACCAGCCAAGUCGCGUGAGGGAAGACGGUCCUAUGGAUUGUAAACCUCUUUUGUCGGGGAGCAAAAGACGCCACGCGUGGCGUUCCGAGAGUACCCGAAGAAAAAGCAUCGGCUAACUCCGUGCCAGCAGCCGCGGUAAUACGGAGGAUGCGAGCGUUAUCCGGAUUUAUUGGGUUUAAAGGGUGCGCAGGCGGAAGAUCAAGUCAGCGGUAAAAUUGAGAAGCUCAACCUCUACGAGCCGAUGAAACUGGUUU
rnacentral:rRNA from 1 species